AUACGUAGGGGGCGAGCGUUGUCCGGAAUGAUUGGGCGUAAAGGGCGCGUAGGCGGCCCGGUAAGUCUGGAGUGAAAGUCCUGUUUUUAAGAUGGGAAUUGCUUUGGAUACUGUCGGGCUUGAGUGCAGGAGAGGUAAGUGGAAUUCCCAGUGUAGCGGUGAAAUGCGUAGAGAUUGGGAGGAACACCAGUGGCGAAGGCGACUUACUGGACUGUAACUGACGCUGAGGCGCGAAAGUGUGGGGAGCAAACAGGAUUAGAUACCCUGGUAGUCCACACUGUAAACGAUGAAUGCUAGGUGUAGGGGGUAUCGACCCCUUUUGUGCCGCAGUCAACACAAUAAGCAUUCCGCCUGGGGAGUACGGCCGCAAGGUUGAAACUCAAAGGAAUUGACGGGG
rnacentral:rRNA from 1 species